rnacentral:rRNA from 1 species
AAAUUGAAGAGUUUGAUCAUGGCUCAGAUUGAACGCUGGCGGCAGGCCUAACACAUGCAAGUCGAACGGUAACAGGGAUCAGCUUGCUGAUUUGCUGACGAGUGGCGGACGGGUGAGUAAUGUCUGGGAAACUGCCUGAUGGAGGGGGAUAACUACUGGAAACGGUAGCUAAUACCGCAUAACGUCGCAAGACCAAAGAGGGGGACCUUCGGGCCUC